UGGGGAAUAUUGCGCAAUGGGCGAAAGCCUGACGCAGCGACGCCGCGUGGGUGAUGAAGGCCUUCGGGUCGUAAAGCCCUGUCUGGAGGGAAGAAUCCUCGGCGACCUAAUACGUCGUCGACCUGACGGUACCUCCGAAGGAAGCACCGGCUAACUCCGUGCCAGCAGCCGCGGUAAUACGGAGGGUGCGAGCGUUGUUCGGAAUCACUGGGCGUAAAGCGCGUGUAGGCGGCCUUCUAAGUCUGGUGUGAAAGCCCGGGGCUCACCCCCGGAAGUGCACUGGAAACUGGGAGGCUUGAGUACCGGAGAGGAGGGUGGAAUUCCUGGUGUAGCGGUGAAAUGCGUAGAUAUCAGGAGGAACACCGGUGGCGAAGGCGGCCCUCUGGACGGAUACUGACGCUGAGACGCGAAAGCGUGGGGAGCAAACAGG
rnacentral:rRNA from 1 species